rnacentral:rRNA from 1 species
UACGUAGGGUGCAAGCGUUGUCCGGAAUUAUUGGGCGUAAAGAGCUCGUAGGCGGUCUGUCGCGUCGGCUGUGAAAACCCGGAGCUCAACUCCGGGCCUGCAGUCGAUACGGGCAAACUGGAGUACUGCAGGGGAGACUGGAAUUCCUGGUGUAGCGGUGAAAUGCGCAGAUAUCAGGAGGAACACCGGUGGCGAAGGCGGGUCUCUGGGCCUUACCUG